rnacentral:rRNA from 1 species
UACGUAGGUGGCAAGCGUUGUCCGGAAUUAUUGGGCGUAAGCGCGCGCAGGCGGCCUCUUAAGUCUGAUGUGAAAGCCCCCGGCUCAACCGGGGGAGGGCCUUGGAAACUGGGAGGCUUGAGUAUAGGAGAGAAGAGUGGAAUUCCACGUGUAGCGGUGAAAUGCGUAGAGAUGUGGAGGACACCAGUGGCGAAGGCGACUCUUUGGCCUAUAACUGACGCUGAGGCGCGAAGCGUGGGAGC